GCAGUCGAACGGUAACAGGUCUUCGGAUGCUGACGAGUGGCGAACGGGUGAGUAAUACAUCGGAACGUGCCUAGUAGUGGGGGAUAACUACUCGAAAGAGUAGCUAAUACCGCAUGAGAUCUACGGAUGAAAGCAGGGGACCUUCGGGCCUUGUGCUACUAGAGCGGCUGAUGGCAGAUUAGGUAGUUGGUGGGGUAAAGGCUUACCAAGCCUGCGAUCUGUAGCUGGUCUGAGAGGACGACCAGCCACACUGGGACUGAGACACGGCCCAGACUCCUACGGGAGGCAGCAGUGGGGAAUUUUGGACAAUGGGCGAAAGCCUGAUCCAGCAAUGCCGCGUGCAGGAUGAAGGCCCUCGGGUUGUAAACUGCUUUUGUACGGAACGAAAAGCCUGGGGCUAAUAUCCUCGGGUCAUGACGGUACCGUAAGAAUAAGCACCGGCUAACUACGUGCCAGCAGCCGCGGUAAUACGUAGGGUGCAAGCGUUAAUCGGAAUUACUGGGCGUAAAGCGUGCGCAGGCGGUUUUGUAAGACAGUGGUGAAAUCCCCGGGCUCAACCUGGGAACUGCCAUUGUGACUGCAAGGCUAGAGUGCGGCAGAGGGGGAUGGAAUUCCGCGUGUAGCAGUGAAAUGCGUAGAUAUGCGGAGGAACACCGAUGGCGAAGGCAAUCCCCUGGGCCUGCACUGACGCUCAUGCACGAAAGCGUGGGGAGCAAACAGGAUUAGAUACCCUGGUAGUCCACGCCCUAAACGAUGUCAACUGGUUGUUGGGUCUUAACUGACUCAGUAACGAAGCUAACGCGUGAAGUUGACCGCCUGGGGAGUACGGCCGCA
rnacentral:rRNA from 1 species